UUUACAUUUACAUCGUAGAUAAAAGUUGGUUGCAACACAUGGCAUUUGCUAUCCCACUGUAAGUUAAAACUAGUUGUAAAAUUAAAAAAUUUAUAUUGGAACUUCUAUUUCUUUUAACAUUCAUGUUUAUUUAAUUGAGUUACAACUAAGGUUAUAUAUGAGUUAUUUAUACUAUCUUAGAAUUUGCUGCUUUAGAGGCACGGCAUUUAGUGUCACAUUAAUUUACUGUUUUAGAC
rnacentral:lncRNA from 1 species